UACGUAGGGUGCGAGCGUUAAUCGGAAUUACUGGGCGUAAAGCGUGCGUAGGCGGUUCUCCAAGUCCGUUGUGAAAGCCCCGGGCUCAACCUGGGAUGCCGGUGGAUACUGUCGGGCUCGAGUCCGGAAGAGGAGUGUGGAAUUCCUGGUGUAGCGGUGAAAUGCGCAGAUAUCAGGAGGAACACCAAUGGCGAAGGCAGCACUCUGGGACGUGACUGACGCUGAGACGCGAAAGCGUGGGGAGCGAACAGG
rnacentral:rRNA from 1 species